rnacentral:tRNA from 5 species
GACUUAAAAUCCGUCGACUUUAUAAAUCGUGAGG